GACGAACGCUGGCGACGUGCUUAACACAUGCAAGUCGAACGAUGAAGCCGGAGCUUGCUCUGGUGAAUUAGUGGCGAACGGGUGAGUAACACGUGAGUAACCUGCCCUUGACUCUGGGAUAACUGCUAGAAAUGGUAGCUAAUACCGGAUACGACCCUCGGAGGCAUCUCCAGGGGGUGGAAAGAAUUUCGGUCAAGGAUGGACUCGCGGCCUAUCAGCUAGUUGGUGAGGUAACGGCUCACCAAGGCGACGACGGGUAGCCGGCCUGAGAGGGUGCCCGGCCACACUGGGACUGAGACACGGCCCAGACUCCUACGGGAGGCAGCAGUGGGGAAUAUUGCACAAUGGGCGCAAGCCUGAUGCAGCAACGCCGCGUGAGGGAUGACGGCCUUCGGGUUGUAAACCUCUUUUAGUAGGGAAGAAGCGAAAGUGACGGUACCUGCAGAAAAAGCACCGGCUAACUACGUGCCAGCAGCCGCAGUAA
rnacentral:rRNA from 1 species